GACACUGGCAAGAAUUGUAAGUGAUGUGAACAUGACAUAAUAAAUGGGCGAAACAACUGCAGUGUUGAACGUAUCAAGUGCCUUGUUGAGAUAAUUCAUUUGAGUGAUGACACUUGUAGCAACGACAAACAUAAAAAACCAUGUCUCCGGAUAGAGUAAUUGGUUGUUUCCUUCAAAUGUUAAUUUUAGUGCAGUUCCAACGGCUUUAACACUCAUCACCGAAAGAGAGCCCAUCAACGAGCAAAUGCCCGUGAAAACUAGGACAUUUGAGUGCCCACACUGUGGCGAAAAAUGGAAGGCCAGAAUAAAAACAAGCACAAUCACUGAGGCCACGUAAAGCAAAAAAGCUGAUUGAGUUGCCAUAGUCCAUAUUUCCUGAACAGAAGUUAUAGGGUGCUCCUGUGGUGCAUGAAUCACAAUUAUAAUAGAACCAGCAAUGCACAUCACACAACCCAGGAUCCCUAGUUUCUGUAACUUCUCAUUCAAGAUAAAGUGCGCUAACACAGCACUAAUAAUAAUACUUAAUGCACCAAGUGGGG
rnacentral:misc_RNA from 1 species